rnacentral:tRNA from 1 species
GAGGUGUUAGUAAAACAAUUACAUAGCCUUGUCAAGGCUAAAUUGUAGGCGAAAACCCUACACACCUCUCC